rnacentral:rRNA from 1 species
UUUUUUGGAGGGCAAGUCUGGUGCCAGCAGCCGAGGAAAUUCAGCUCAAUAGCGUAUAUUAAGUUGUUGCAGUUAAAAAGCUCGUAGUUGAAUUUCGGGAUUGACACAUCGGUCGUGCCUUAAGGGGUAUGAACUGGUGUAGUCAAUUUCUCACCUUCUGGAGAACCGCGAUGCCCUUAAUUGGGUGUCGCGGGGAACCAGGACCUUUACUUUGAAAAAAUUAGAGUGUUUAAAGCAGGCAUUUUGCUUGAAUACAUUAGCAUGGAAUAAUAAAAUAGGACGGCAUGAUUCUAUUUUGUUGGUUUCUAGGAUCACCGUAAUGAUUAAUAGGGAUAGUUGGGGGCAUUAGUAUUCAAUUGUCAGAGGUGAAAUUCUUGGAUUUAUUGAAGACUAACUACUGCGAAAGCAUUUGCCAAGGAUGUUUUCAUUAAUCAAGAACGAAAGUUAGGGGAUCGAAGACGAUCAGAUACCGUCGUAGUCUUAACCAUAAACUAUGCCGACUAGGAAUCAGACGAUGUUAAUUUUUAAUGACUCUUGACCUUACGGGAAACCAAAGUGUUUGGGUUCAAA